rnacentral:rRNA from 1 species
AGAGUUUGAUCAUGGCUCAGGACGAACGCUGGCGGCGUGCUUAACACAUGCAAGUCGAGCGAGAGCCAGCUGAGGGGUAACCCUCGGCUGGGGACAGCGGCGAACGGGUGCGUAACACGUGGGCAACCUGCCCCUGACACUGGGAUAACCCCGGGAAACCGGAGCUAAUACCGGAUACUCUCGGCCGAUCACAUGGCUGGCCGAGGAAAGGUCCGCCGGUCAGGGAUGGGCCCGCGGCCUAUCAGCUUGUUGGUGGGGUAACGGCCUACCAAGGCGACGACGGGUAGCUGGUCUGAGAGGACGACCAGCCACACUGGAACUGAGAUACGGUCCAGACUCCUACGGGAGGCAGCAGUGGGGAAUAUUGCACAAUGGGCGAAAGCCUGAUGCAGCGACGCCGCGUGAGGGAUGAAGGCCUUCGGGUCGUAAACCUCUUUCGGCAGGGACGAAGCGUUCAGUGACGGUACCUGCAGAAGAAGCCCCGGCUAACUACGUGCCAGCAGCCGCGGUAAUAC